rnacentral:rRNA from 1 species
UACGGGGGGAGCAAGCGUUGUUCGGAUUCACUGGGCGUAAAGGGUGCGUAGGUGGCAUGGUAAGUUUGAUGUGAAAGCUCAGGGCUUAACCCUGAAAUGGCAUUGAAUACUACUGUGCUGGAGGUUUGGAGGGGGGACUGGAAUUCUUGGUGUAGCAGUGAAAUGCGUAGAUAUCUGCAGGAACACCCGUGGCGAAAGCGGCGCGCUGGACCACUACUGACGCUGAAGAACGAAAGCUAGGGGAGCAAACAGG